GCCAAGUCGUGAGGCGGAGCUAAUCCCUUAAAGCCAUUCUCAGUUCGGAUUGUAGGCUGAAACUCGCCUACAUGAAGCUGGAGUUACUAGUAAUCGCAGAUCAGAAUGCUGCGGUGAAUGCGUUCCCGGGUCUUGUACACACCGCCCGUCACACCACGGAAGUUGGGGGCGCCCGAAGCCACUUAGCUAACCCUUUUGGGAAGCAAGUGUCGAAGGUGAAAUCAAUAACUGGGGUGAAGUCGUAACAAGGUACC
rnacentral:rRNA from 1 species